UUUGGUUGACUGUCGUUGUUACUUAUCCGAUCUGAAUCUAAAGGUUCCAUGUUUCUGACAAAACAAUGGCUGAUUUGCUAGCUGUAGAGCGCAAGCUAAAUGAUACAGGCUCUGCUGUGAAAACCAACAGGUCUCUUCUUUUACAAGCUUUUGCUACAGUUGAAUUACUCAAUAUGUGUGUGUGUUUUAUAUCAUCUGGUGAUCAAGUUUUAAUGUAUCUUGAUGAAUGUAGACCUUUGUAACAUAUUUGCACCUUUGGAGUAACACAUGAUGUCCUUUAUCAGUAUGGCUGAUCCUUCGCCCUUAUUUCCUCUACUUGUUGAUAUGUGUCUGCUGGAACAAGCUGGUUCAAUGGUGCCUUCAGCAAAGUCGCCGAGGCUGGUCAUGUUGCCGGCUCAAGAACAACAGAAAAGUUCCAGAUAGUUGUGUCAAAUAUAUCAGCCAAAGGACCUGCUGUCGUUGCUUGAGCUUGUUGAGUUUGUUUUGGGAGCUCCUCUUCCUGGGGAAAAUCUGUUGGAAACCUUGAGCAAGCAUCUAAUGUUGGCUGUGUCAUCAAGCUUUGGCUUGUAACUGUGUAUUUCUCUCCUUCUCAUCUUCUUCUUUGAGGAGGUUUAUUUUCAGGGAGUCUUGACAGAUUUGGUAGAUGAUCUAAAUUUUCUUUAGAAUUUUAGAACCACUAUCCUUUUUAGUGUCGGUGUUCAAUUGAUUAUAGAUGAUAGUGACAUUUUGGACCA